CUGCAUCCACAGGUUACCACGACAAGUUUGCGACUGAGUAAAUACAGAUACUACAGUUCGUGAUCUGGAGCUUGACUUCACAUGUUUUGUGGUGAUUAAAGGCGGAGUCCAUGAUGUUUGAAAGCCAAUGUUGAUAUUUGAAAUCACCUAAACAAACACGCCCCUACCCCAAUAGAAUCUGGACCUUCUGUUGAUAGACCCGCCACACACAUAUGCAACCCGGCAAGGAUGUCGGUUAGUAGACACGCUCCUUACUGCUGAUUGGCUAUAAGUGUGUUUUGGUAGUCGGCCCGUCUCCUUUUCCAAAGCGUUUUUCAAACAUCGUGGACUCCGCCUUUAACAAAUUGUGCGGUGCUUUUGGCAUUGUCUAUCCAUGUAUAAUUGUGAUGUUCCAGGAGUGCUAAUGGAAGCUACACAGUAUGUAGAUGUUUGUUCCAGUAUGUUUAUGUGUGUGUACCUGGUAAUUAUCACGUUGUGGGGACCGAAUGUCCCCACAAAGAUAGGAAUACCAGUAAAUUUUGACCUCGUGGGGACAUUUGUGAGGUCCCCAUGAGGAACCAAGCUUAUAAAUCAAACGGAAUGAUGUUUCUUGAAAAUCUAAGGUCGCAGAAAGUUUUCUGUGAUGGUUGGGGUAAGGGUUUGGGGAAGGGAAUAGAAUAUACAGUUUGUACAGUAUAAAAUGCAUUACGUUUAUGGAAUGUCCCCACAAAACAUGGAAACCAGAAUGUGUGUGUGUGUGUGCGUGCCAUGGAACAAAUAUUUAUUUUAUACCUUUUUGUGUGUUCUGUUUUUGACUUUUUUCCCCUGAUAUCAAGACACCAAAAUAAUGUUUUAAUACGCAUUUUCAUGUGUUUGUAAAGAAAAUAAAUGGUGUACUUCACUGUUA